AAGAGUGUGAGUAAUUUGUUGUUGCUGUGCUGCAGUUUUCUUUAUUUAUGAAUUAAACCAGUGUCUGGAAUGUUGAGAGCAUAAUGCUGGCAGGGAGUUGAUAUCUGGAUGACAUGCUUAACCCUUUGGAUACCUCUGGAUUUACCAUGGGAACAUUUUAAGGUGACAAAUACACAAUCUGCAUAUAUGGCUCAGCCCUAACCUGGAGUUACUUCUGUGGGGUGUGACAGAAGUUCGGUUUCCAUAGGGUUAUACAAGAUCAGAUCCAGUGAUUCAUCUAGUUCGAUAUCCUGUUAAUGACAUUACAAUCUGGGAGCAUUAUAAUUCUGUUGGCAAGUUAAUGAUAGAAGGUUAAGGGUGGUGUCAUUUGAUUUGUCAAAAAUCUACAGAAUCAUUAUUUCAAUGGUGUCACCCUCUGCAGCAGAGCAAAGGGGACUCAAUCCCUGCCUCCACCACACAUUCCCAGCUCCAGGCCCUCUGGGUAGAGGAAAUGUUGAUAUAAUGUGGUUGGAAGUAGGUUGAGUUGGGUAUCAUUUGAAAGCCCUUUCUCCCGUGAACACAAUGGUACCAAAUGUGACAAACCCAGAACAAUUAUGUAGAUAUAUAUUUGAGAAAAAGUUUAAAAAACAGUGUUUUUAAUUAUACUUUAACACAAGUAUGUCAUACAUGCAGCCCUCACAUAAUUAAACUAUGACCAUCAACUGACAGUACUGUGUUAUUAGUUAAUUCUCCGAAUAUGAUAGCUGAUUAAUUUUUUUAAUGUUACAGAUUACUAUGCAUGGAAGGAGUGCUUCAACUUGAUUUGCCAUCAUCAGCAAAAAAGAAGAGGUUCUGUGGUAUUGAUUAUCCGCUCUGUUUGUUACACCAAAAGAGUUGUAAUGAGGCACUGGUUAUGAUGUCCGCAUGCAGCCAGAAGUUACUGGAAUCCAUCCACAAACGGCAUCAGUGGAGAGACAAAGAUUACUGACUAGUAAAUGAAUCUUUGGAGAAUACUAGUGUGGAAGACCUGGUUAAACACAAUGCUUGAGGCUGUAAUUAGUGCAUCCAAACACUGAAUUGACAAGGUUGGAGAAGAAGUAUAUUGAGCACCAGGAAAAAGUUGAAGAUGCUGGGACAAAUGCCAGCUAUGGGGCUCUUAAAAUCGACUUCUGUACUCCUCCCCGACGAGGUUGCUAGGAGCUGGGCAGGGAAGACAUUCCCAGAACCCCUGACCAAGCUACAUGUCCGACGAGGACAGCUAGGAGUCCUACUGCACCGUCUGCUUCAAAGGCACCCAGGAGCUGCUACUGUGUAGCAAUGCCAGCUGCUGCAAGUGCUUCUGUGUCGAAAGCUUGGAGGUCCUGGUAGGGCAAGGUACCUCGGCCACGGCAAAAGAGCAAGAGCCCUGGAGCUGUUACAUGUGUCAACCACAGAAGUGCUAUGGGGUGUUACAGCGCCAACCAGACUGGAAUGGACGGCUGCAAGACUUCUUCACCAGCGGCAAAGGACAGGAAUAUGAUGCACCUAAAAUCUAAAAAGGCCUGCACAUUUCCUAGAGUCACUACCCUUGAUAAAAGAACGUUAAUGAUUGCGUUGGCUACUUGGAUCACAGCAGCCCCCACAGUAGACUUGCCCACAACAGCAACGGUGACAGUGAGCUGAGAGGGCUUUAUGCUUGCUGUGGAAUGGUGUUUUCACAGGUAACCCAGGAAAAAAGGCGCGAAACAAUUAUCUGCCAUUGCUUUCACGGAGGGAGGGGCGACUGAUGACAUGUACCCAAAACCACCCGUGACAAUGUUUUUGCCUCUUCAGGC